rnacentral:lncRNA from 1 species
AUGACACCUUCGAAGACCUGUAUGGAGAUGGCACCGGUGAAACCGUCGCCCCCACCCAGUAGCUCCUCCUCGCACUCCACACAGCAGUUCAUACACGCAAUUGGCCAAUCAGCCGAAGAGCUGGCGUUAAGGAGAAGAGGACACAGCCCCUGCUAGACUGAGAGACAACACCCUGGCCACUUCCCGCACUGUUACCCUGCUGGACCCCUUCCGCCUUGCUUCCCUUACAAUAAAAUCUGCAUGAGCUCAACCCCGCUGCA